rnacentral:rRNA from 1 species
CCUACGGGUGGCAGCAGUCGAGAAUCAUUCACAAUGGGGGAAACCCUGAUGGUGCGACGCCGCGUGGGGGAAUGAAGGUCUUGGGAUUGUAAGCCACUGUCAUGUGGGAGCAAAUUAAAAAGAUAGACCCACAAGAGGAAGCGACGGCUAACUCUGUGCCAGCAGCCGCGGUAAUACGGAGGUCUCAAGCGUUGUUCGGAGUCACUGGGCGUAACGCGUGCGUAGGCUGUUGCGUAAGUCGUGUGUGAAAGGCGCGGGCUCAACCCGCGGACGGCACAUGAUACUGCGAGACUAGAGUAAAGGAGGGGUAACCGGAAUGCGUGGUGUAGCAGUGAAAUGCGUAGAUA